rnacentral:rRNA from 1 species
ACGCUCCUACGGGACGCAGCAGUAGGGAAUAUUGCUCAAUGGGGGAAACCCUGAAGCAGCAACGCCGCGUGAGUGAUGACGGCCUUCGGGUUGUAAAGCUCUGUCUUCAGGCACGAUAAUGACGGUACCUGAGGAGGAAGCCACGGCUAACUACGUGCCAGCAGCCGCGGUAAUACGUAGGUGGCGAGCGUUGUCCGGAUUUACUGGGCGUAAAGGGAGCGUAGGCGGACUUUUAAGUGAGAUGUGAAAUACUCGGGCUCAACUUGAGUGCUGCAUUUCAAACUGGAAGUCUAGAGUGCAGGAGG